rnacentral:rRNA from 1 species
UUUAAAGUGGGGGAAGUAAGCCCGGGGAAACCCGGAGUUAAAUACCCCGUAAUAUAAUAGAGUGGCAUCGCUUUAUUAUUAUAGCUCCGGCGCUUGAAGAUGGGUGUGCGACUGAUUAGGUAGUUGGCGGGGUAAUGGGCCCACCAAGCCUGCGAUCAGUAACUGGUGUGAGAGCAUGACCAGUCACACGGGCACUGAGACACGGGCCCG